GCAUUAUUAUAUGGCUUUUCAAAAUUCUCUAUUCUGAUUGGUUGACAAGCGGUCCGUAAAAACCCAUAUCCGGACCGUGGUCCGUAUUUUCCGUAUCUGGUGUCCCGGAUGUCGUUUAUCUGGCGGGAAAUUUUUGCUUUGCAAACAGAAAAAAAUUUGCUUUUUAAUUUUCCAAUUGUGUGUCAUUAAAAUUUACAGAUAAAAAUUUCAAACAACC